UACGUAGGGAGCAAGCGUUGUUCGGAUUUACUGGGCGUAAAGGGCGCGUAGGCGGCGCGGUAAGUCACUUGUGAAAUCUCUGAGCUUAACUCAGAACGGCCAAGUGAUACUGCAGUGCUAGAGUGCAGAAGGGGCAAUCGGAAUUCUUGGUGUAGCGGUGAAAUGCGUAGAUAUCAAGGGGAACACCUGAGGUGAAGACGGGUUGCUGGGCUGACACUGACGCUGAGGCGCGAAAGCCAGGGGAGCAAACGGG
rnacentral:rRNA from 1 species